rnacentral:rRNA from 1 species
GGGAACUACGAGCUAAGCUUAAAACCCAAAGGACUUGACGGUACCCCAUAUCCCCCUAGAGGAGCCUGUCCUAUAAUCGAUAAUCCACGUUUAACCUCACCAUUUUUUGUUAAUCAGCCUGUAUACCUCCGUCGUCAGCUUACCACGUGAGCGCCAAUUAGUGAGCUUAAUGUCUUUCACCAACACGUCAGGUCAAGGUGCAGCAAAUGAAAUGGGAAGAGAUGGGCUACACUUUCUAUAUUAGAAAAAACGAAAAACUAUUUAUGAAAACUAGUUGGAAGGCGGAUUUAGCAGUAAAAAGGAAUCAGAAUGUCCAUUUUAACCCGGCACUGGGGUGUGUACACACCGCCCGUCACCCUCUUCAGGGCUUCUUACCUAGUUCUUAACAAACUAAAGCAUAACAGAAGAGGCAAGUCGUAACAUGGUAAGUAUACCGGAAGGUGUGCUUGGAAA